GAGAGUAUAUAACUGAAGGUGAAUAUAAGGACUACGAAGCAUCUAAGAACAGUUGCAGAAGGCUAACGUUUAAAAUGAGCUUAGCCCUGCGGAAGAGAAAACGUAAAGAAAAACCAAGGAAGCGUUUCUCCAGCGAGGCUAGAAGACCACCAAGCAGUGGAUGUGCUGCUGAAAGCCAGCAGGUGACAGAGGACAAGAAAAAGGCACUGUUGUAUGGGAGCUGCUCUCCCCGACACAGGAAGAGACCCACCAGGGCUUCUGUAUUCUUGGAUGCCUCUGCUGCUGCUGCUAAAAUAGCUCCACUGAGAUGUUCUUACAAGGACUUACAGUUUCUACGUCGUCUCAGAGGGAUACAAAGGCUACUGCCCAUCACCUUGAAGUCUUUCCAGUCACUUUUCUAAUCCGCAGUGUUCACAUACCGGAGACAAUAAAUAAAAACAACUUAUCUGUGAAACCCAAGAACAGACCAAAUGGCAAAGAAAAAUAUACUUGGGAAGAACAAACUGGCCAAGACCCUGAGAGGUCAUUGGUUCAAAUCCAGACUAUGCUGCCAGAAACUAAAGGUUACUGUAGGGCAGUAGUUUGCUUAUGAAAAUGG